rnacentral:rRNA from 1 species
UACGUAGGGGGCGAGCGUUGUCCGGAGUUACUGGGCGUAAAGCGCUUGUAGGCGGUCCACCAAGUUUGGGGUGACAGUUGCCGACUUAAUCGGCAAAGUGCCUCAAAGACUGGCGGACUUGAGGGCCACAGAGGGACAUGGAACUCCAGGUGUAGUGGUGAAAUGCGUAGAUAUCUGGAAGAACACCAAAGGCGAAGGCAGUGUCCUGGGUGGUCGCUGACGCUCAGGUGCGAAAGCCAGGGGAGCGAACGGG